UUUCUCUGGUGAUUAAUGAUGUUGAGCAUCUUUUCAAAUAUCUAUUGACCAUCCUGGAUGUUAAUACAGACCAAAUUCUUACCCUUAAGGAAGUUAAGGUCAUUUGGGAAGGUAAUAUUCACAUACAUAGAAACAAGUACAAGACAAGAUAUGCAUUAAGGAGUAAACUCUGAGGCUAGACCAAAAUGCUGUAGGAGUUCAGAGAAUGUGAGGAUCACCGUAGAUUGGUGUUGUUAGGGUAGCUUUAGUUCUAUAAAAUGUAAAGUUGAGCUGGGUCUUGUAACUGAUAGGGUUUGGGCAAAAAGAGAGGCUAGAGAAGGACAUUUUCUCCAUCUGUCCAUCUUCCCAUCUGCCCCUCCAUUCAUCCAUCCAUCUGUUCAUUCAAAAGAUAUUUAUUGAGGACUGUGCUAGGCACCCUCAUGUAUUUGCUGGGAACACAAGCAUCAAACACAUUUGCAUAAACAGUAUAUAUUUACAAUGUGAUAAAUGCCAUAAAGGAGAAGUAGAGGGUGCGAUGAGUGAGAGACUUAACCUUAGCAGUGGAAUCAAGGAAAGCUUUCUUUGGGAGUGGUGUUUGAGGUGAAGAAAUUAUACAGAUUCACAGAUGUCCGAAAGAAAAUGAAGAAAUGGAUUUGACUGCAACAAGGGUUUAAGAUGUUUUUGAUAUUUAUGCUUUUAAAAUGUUCUCUAGGAGUUGGGUAAGGUAUCACAUUAAUCUUAAAUCUCUGAAGAGACUGAAAUUUGAAGAUAAACUUGAGAAACAAGAAUGGUAAGCAUAAAAUGUGACCCAAACAACCUUUAUUAUUUCCAGUGCGAAACUGUCAUACACUGACUGCGAUUAGUUGUGUUUUUCGGGUCAGGCAGGAAUCCAUUAUUUCUUAAGUUUAAAUUUGACACUUUAGAUUGGACACCAUCCAGAGGAUUAGUUGCCUUCUUGGCUCUGGACUUUAUGUAUUUGCUGCAGGAUUUAUGUCACCAGAUGGCACCAUUUAACUGAAUUUAUGUGCUUUAUGUAUAAGGCUGGUUGUUUUAAAAGGAGGAUGCUUUUAUUUGUGCUAUUCCUGAAAUAGGAAAAGUUAAUUUAUUUUGAUGGCAUAUGAGACUUCUAUUCAGAGUAAAGUGAUGAAACCCCAAAGGCUUGAUGAGAGCAAGAAAGGACCUAGUAAUUUCUGCUAAGUACCUAAUCAAUGAAAAUUUAGUGGUGGUCACUAGCAUCAAUAGUGCAACAGGGUUUGGCAAAAGUAGGUUUAUGGUUGUGAGUACGUGAAACACAGAGUUUAUUCUUGUAUUAUUUAAUCAUGAUUGUAUUAUUUUCCAUAUGGACAACUGCAAACCUACUUUUGCCUACCCCCAUAUAUGGUAGCUGGCUAAAAAGCAGACAGAAUACACUAGAUUUCCCCAUCUAGGUUUUCCUAAGCUAGCAUAGUAAUAUUAUAAAUAUAUUAGCUUUGAGUUUAACUUUGUAGUGUAGGGAUUUGAUAUACAUAAUAAAAAUAUAGAGAAGAUUCUAAAACAUUUUAGGAAUAAACCCUUUCAAGAUACCUUGAAAUAUGAUAGUAAUUUCAUGUGAAU